rfam:Otolemur garnettii contig051493, whole genome shotgun sequence.
GUGCCUGUGGCUCAGUGGGUAGGGCGCUGGUCUCAUAUACCGAGGGUGGUGGGUUCAAACCCAGCCCUGGCCA